rnacentral:rRNA from 1 species
CCCUUAGAUGUUCUGGGCCGCACGCGUGCUACACUGAGUGGAUCAGCGGGUCAGGUUGCGCGAAAGUGUUUCCUAAUCUUGAAAUCCGCUCGUGAUGGGGAUUGACGGUUGCAAUUUUCCGUCAUGAACGAGGAAUACCUUGUAAGCGCGGGUCAUCAUCCCGCGCUGAAUACGUCCCUGCCCUUUGUACACACCGCCCGUCGCUCCUACCGAUUGAGUGGUCCGGUGAGGCUUUGGGAUCUGAGCAAAAAGAGCGUUUCGCUCGUUUGGCCCGGAAAACUCAGUCGAACCUUAUCAUUUAGAGGAAGGAGAAGUCGUAACA